rnacentral:lncRNA from 1 species
GUUUAAUGAGGAUUAUAGUUUCAAUAAAGAGGCAAUUGCUUAUAUAUCUCUGCGAAGUUUCCGACUUUCUGAUUUAUCCCUCUCAGAAGGUUAAUAUUGACAAUACCUUUUUUACGUUUCAACUAUUUCAAAUAUACUCCUAGAGUUAAAUUCCGUUAAUGAAUUGUUAGCAAUAACUGUUAUCUAUAUGAAAUUACUAUUUUGCCCUUUCAAAUAUACCCUUCUAUCAUCACCGACUUUUCUUAUUUGCCCUUAGGUUAGGGGUACAAAAAGUAUUUUGUUUUUUGAUCUUUUCAAAUGUACUCUUCUACCAUUACCAACAUUUCUUAUUUGUCCUUAAGUUAAGGACAAAAGUGACAUUUUAAUUUUUUUUAACUGUGAUAGAUAUUUAACUCACGUUUAACUCAAGUUAACUUAACGGGUGGUAACUGCAGGGGUAUUUUGGAAUAACGAGGAACAUUUGAGGGGCAUAUUGGAAAGAAAAAAAAAAAGUAAGGGUAAAUGAAAUAUUUUCGAAGUUUUAAGGGUUAUAUAGGUAAUUAUCCUAUUUUUUUUAUUAGUUUUUUUAUUUUUAGGGUAUUUUUGG